CCUACGGGAGGCAGCAGUGAGGAAUAUUGGUCAAUGGGCGAGAGCCUGAACCAGCAAAGUCGCGGGAAGGAUGACGGCCCUACGGGUUGUAAACUUCUGUUGUCAGGGAGCAAUUGAGUCCAAGUGUUGGCUUAGCGAGAGUACCUGAAGAAAAAGAAUCGGCUAACUCCGUGCCAGCAGCCGCGGUAAUACGGAGGAUGCGAGCGUGAUCCGGAUGUAUUAGGUUUAAAGGGGACGUAGGCGGAAUAUCAAGGCAGCGGUAAAAAUUCGGGGGUCAACCCCGUCGUGCCGUUGAAACUGAUGUUCUUGAGUGGGCGAGAAGUAUGCGGAAUGCGUGGUGUAGCGGUGACAUGCAUAGAUAUCACGCAGAACUCCGAUUGCGAAGGCAGCAUACCGGCGCCCAACUGACGCUGAAGCACGAAAGCGUAGGUAUCGAACAGGAUUAGAUACCCCAGUAGUC
rnacentral:rRNA from 1 species